AUGGGGUCUGGCUGUAUUUUUCUCCCAGAAAACUAUAUCGGCUUGAGUCUGGGACAUCUGGUCAUCAACCCUUCCAGCCCUGGGCCGCCCGCGUCGGACCCUGCUUGCGGCGCCGUGGUGGAGGCCACAGCUGAUGCCCUCUGCGGCCGAGGCGCCCCAACCGCCACCGGGGCGCAGUCCGGGCUGGACGCUGACCGCUGGGCCCACCCAGGCGGCGCUCUCCAAAUGCGCCCGCGUAGGCACAGGUCGAGUCUGGAAACCCCUCGCUAUCAAGGCAGGACACACCCAGUGUCCUGGGCGCCCUUUCCCCCCCGGGAGCGGCGGGGGCGAGGGGAAGGCAGAUACACUCUUGGAAGAAGGCAUGAGCUCCACCGGGCGGAGGCGCCCAGGCCAAGCCUCCGGCACAGAAAGAGUGUGUCCCCCUGGGGUACGCGCCAGCCUCCGCGCUCCCCGGGUAUCCGGGCGGCUCCCCCUCGCGAUCGCCUGGGUGCUGGGGAGCCUACUCUCGGGCCGCUUAGAGACCUUAGACAAUGGAGCCGGAGCAAGGCGGCUGGCCUAGGGCCGAGCGCCGAGCGCGGGGGUGGCUUCUCCCGCCGCCGGCCCCCGCGGUGCCCCGCCUGGAGCCGGCCCGCCAGCCAGCACGCGGGGCCGAGCCGAGCUCCGGCGCUGCGCUCCUCCUCCUGGUUCCCGCGAGGCUCGGCCGUCCCGGGAAAGCCACAGGAGGGCGGGCUGGCGGGUGCCCGCCACGCGAAGCAGCUUUGGGCGGUGAACCCUCUGCUGCUCUUGGCUCUCUGGUUCGGGCGGAGACUGAGUUGCUCCAUGGAACCAGUACCAGGAGAUCUCUUCUUACACCUCGGGGUUGCUUUGGGCUUCGUGCUAUCUAUUUGUGCCAACAUCCUUUUAAACUGGUUCUUUUCUCUAUCCCUCUUUAAAUUCUUUCUCAUUUUAAAAUUAUUGGCAUGGAUUCUUUUUCUCUCCUCCAGAUUAUAUAAACAUUACACACACACACACACACACACACACACACACACACACACACACACGAGUCUUCCAUAA
rnacentral:lncRNA from 1 species